CCUACGGGUGGCUGCAGUGGGGAAUAUUGGACAAUGGGGGCAACCCUGAUCCAGCCAUGCCGCGUGUGUGAAGAAGGCCCUCGGGUUGUAAAGCACUUUCAGUGAGGAAGAACGCCUGGUGGUUAAUACCCAUCAGGAAAGACAUCACUCACAGAAGAAGCACCGGCUAACUCCGUGCCAGCAGCCGCGGUAAUACGGAGGGUGCGAGCGUUAAUCGGAAUUACUGGGCGUAAAGCGCGCGUAGGUGGCUUGAUAAGCCGGUCGUGAAAGCCCCGGGCUCAACCUGGGAACGGCAUCCGGAACUGUCAAGCUAGAGUGCAGGAGAGGAAGGUAGAAUUCCCGGUGUAGCGGUGAAAUGCGUAGAGAUCGGGAGGAAUACCAGUGGCGAAGGCGGCCUUCUGGACUGACACUGACACUGAGGUGCGAAAGCGUGGGUAGCAAACAGGAUUAGAUACCCCAGUAGUC
rnacentral:rRNA from 1 species